rnacentral:rRNA from 1 species
GAGUUUGAUCUUGGCUCAGGAUGAACGCUAGCGGCAGGCUUAAUACAUGCAAGUCGUGGGGCAGCAUGACUGUAGCAAUACAGUUGAUGGCGACCGGCAAACGGGUGCGGAACACGUACACAACCUUCCUUUAAGUGGGGGAUAGCCCAGGGAAACUUGGAUUAAUACCCCGUAAUAUAUAGAGACGGCAUCGUUUUUAUAUUAUAGCAGCAAUGCGCUUGAAGAUGGGUGUGCGGCUGAUUAGAUAGUUGGCGGGGUAACGGCCCACCAAGUCGACGAUCAGUAACUGGUGUGAGAGCACGACCAGUCACACGGGCACUGAGACACGGGCCCGACUCCUACGGGAGGCAGCAGUAAGGAAUAUUGGUCAAUGGACGCAAGUCUGAACCAGCCAUGCCGCGUGGAGGAUGAAGGUCCUCUGGAUUGUAAACUUCUUUUAUCUGGGAAGAAAAAGGGAAUUCUUUCCCGUCUGACGGUACCAGAUGAAUAAGCACCGGCUAACUCCGUGCCAGCA